AGUGAACGCUGGCGGUAGGCCUAACACAUGCAAGUCGAACGGCAGCACAGUAAGAGCUUGCUCUUACGGGUGGCGAGUGGCGGACGGGUGAGGAAUACAUCGGAAUCUACUUUUUCGUGGGGGAUAACGUAGGGGAACUUACGCUAAUACCGCAUACGACCUACGGGUGAAAGCAGGGGAUCUUCGGACCUUGCGCGAUUGAAUGAGCCGAUGUCGGAUUAGCUAGUUGGCGGGGUAAAGGCCCACCAAGGCGACGAUCCGUAGCUGGUCUGAGAGGAUGAUCAGCCACACUGGAACUGAGACACGGACCAGACUCCUACGGGAGGCAGCAGUGGGGAAUAUUGGACAAUGGGCGCAAGCCUGAUCCAGCCAUACCGCGUGGGUGAAGAAGGCCUUCGGGUUGUAAAGCCCUUUUGUUGGGAAAGAAAAGCAGCAGGUUAAUACCCCGCUGUUCUGACGGUACCCAAAGAAUAAGCACCGGCUAACUUCGUG
rnacentral:rRNA from 1 species